GAUGAACGCUGGCAGCGUGCUUAACACAUGCAAGUCGAGGGGAAACGAUAGAGAAAGCUUGCUUUUUCUAGGCGUCGACCGGCGCACGGGUGAGUAACGCGUAUCCAACCUGCCCAUCACUUGGGGAUAACCUUGCGAAAGUAAGACUAAUACCCAAUGAUAUCUCUAGAAGACAUCUGAAAGGGAUUAAAGAUUUAUCGGUGAUGGAUGGGGAUGCGUCUGAUUAGCUUGUUGGCGGGGUAACGGCCCACCAAGGCGACGAUCAGUAGGGGUUCUGAGAGGAAGGUCCCCCACAUUGGAACUGAGACACGGUCCAAACUCCUACGGGAGGCAGCAGUGAGGAAUAUUGGUCAAUGGGCGAGAGCCUGAACCAGCCAAGUAGCGUGCAGGAUGACGGCCCUAUGGGUUGUAAACUGCUUUUAUAAGGGAAUAAAGUGAGUCUCGUGAGACUUUUUGCAUGUACCUUAUGAAUAAGGACCGGCUAAUUCCGUGCCAGCCGCCGCAGUAA
rnacentral:rRNA from 1 species